rnacentral:rRNA from 1 species
UACGUAGGGGGCAAGCGUUGUCCGGAUUUAUUGGGCGUAAAAGGCUUGUAGGUGGCCACGCCAAGUCGGAUGUGAAAUCUCCCGGCUCAACUGGGAGGGGUCAUUCGAUACUGGCGGGCUCGAGGCCGGUAGGGGGAAGUGGAAUUCCCGGUGUAGUGGUGGAAUGCGUAGAUAUCGUAAGGAAGACCAGUGGCGAAGGCGGGUCUCUGGACAGUUCCUGACGCUGAGGCACGAAGGCCAGGGGAGCAAACGGG